rnacentral:rRNA from 1 species
UACAGAGGUCUCAAGCGUUGUUCGGAUUCAUUGGGCGUAAAGGGUGCGUAGGUGGCGGGGUAAGUCAGGUGUGAAAUCUCGGGGCUCAACCCCGAAACUGCACUUGAUACUGCCUUGCUCGAGUACUGGAGAGGAGAUUGGAAUUUACGGUGAGCAGUGAAAUGCGUAGAUAUCGUAAGGAAGACCAGUGGCGAAGGCGAAUCUCUGGACAGUUACUGACACUGAGGCACGAAG